rfam:Asian citrus Psyllid, Diaphorina citri - Florida Strain, whole genome shotgun sequence.
GCCUGGUUAGCUUAGUUGGUAGUGCGUCUGCCUUGUGAGCGCUAGGCCGCGGGUUCGAUUCCCGCCCGGGGUG